rnacentral:rRNA from 1 species
GAUGAACGCUGGCGGCGUGCCUAAUACAUGCAAGUCGAGCGAACGGAUGAGACUCUUGCUUCUCUGAUGUUAGCGGCGGACGGGUGAGUAACACGUGGUUAACCUACCUAUAAGACUGGGAUAACUUCGGGUAACCCUAACUCAUACCGGGUAAUAUUUUGAACCGCAUGGGUCAAAAGUGAAAUACGGUCUUGCUGUCACUUCUAGACGGAUCCGCGCUGCAUUAGGUAAUUGGUAAGGUAACGGCUCUCCAAGGGAACGAUCCAUAGCCGACCUGAGAGGGUGGUCGGCCACAGUGGAACUGAGACACGGUCCGGACUGCUACGGGAGGCAGCAGUAGGGGAGCGUCCGCAAUGGGCGAAAGUCUGACGGAGCAACGAGGCGUGAGUAGUGAAGGUCUUCGGAUGGUAAAGCUCUGUUAUUAGGAAAGUACAUAUGGCUAUGUAGAUGUGCACGUCUUGACGGUAGUGAAACAGGAAGCACCGGCUAACUACGUG